rnacentral:rRNA from 1 species
AUGGGUGAGUAACACGUGGGUAACCUGCCCUGCACAGGGGGAUAACAGCUGGAAACGGCUGUUAAUACCGCAUAUGCACACGCUGCCGCAUGGCAGGGGGUGGAAAGAUUUAUCGGUGCAGGAUGGGCCCGCGUCGGAUUAACUAGUUGGCAGGGUAACGGCCUACCCAAGGUGAUGAUCCGUAGCCGACCUGAGAGGGUGACCGGCCACAUUGGGACUGAGACACGGCCCAAACUCCUACGGGAGGCAGCAGUGGGGGAUAUUGCACAAUGGGCGGAAGCCCUGAUGCAGCGACGCCGCGUGAAGGAAGAAGUAUUUCGGUAUGUAAACUUCUAUCAGCGGGGAAGAAGAUGACGGUACCCGACUAAGAAGCCCCGGCUAACUACGUGCCAGCCGCGGC